UGCAUGGAGUUAACUCAAUUUAACUCGAAAUUAUUAGACAAAGAAUUAAAAAUUCUUAUUUUUAUAUUUUUCAGCAACAAAUGUUGGGAAAUUUUAUCUCGGUUUCAAAUAAGAUAACAUCGUUUUAACGAAAAUAUGUACUGUUAAAAAUGACCAAAUUUUACUCAAGUAAUAAUGUAUUAAUAUUAUAUAACGAAUCCUUUAAAAGUUUCAAUCUUAUUAAAAAAGACAAAUUAUUCUUAUUAUUAUUACUUUUAUUUGAAAAUUAUUCGAAUAAAAACCUAUUCGAAUAUCAUCUGAUUACAACGAGACGUUCGAAUUCGAUCGAUAUUUCUUUGUUCCAUUGUAUCGGAAUUUAUUAAAAUGCAAAAAGAUUUCAGUGGAUAGUAUGCGUUCAAUGAAUACACGAACGUGUUUUAUCCAUUUUCCACCACUUCCACUUCCCGCCCCGGGUCCGAAUUGAGGUUGAAUUCGCUUUAAGUUUCACAGAGCGAUAUUGCGAUAUCCAGCUUGAGCAACAAAGGAACCCGGGUCCCACUGGACCGAGAAUCCUCAGGGAUUUCUACACCAGGAACAAAGAACGAUCGAUCGGCCGAUUUCGCCCUGAGUUUCCGUUUUAGAUACAGGAGAGGCCAAUAUGGACCAAUAAGAUGGCCAGUUACCGCUGCUCCUAGCCACAAAUUAAAACGAUCCGGUUUCCUUCGUUUACUAGGGUUGAGGCUCGUUGGUCACACGUGCCUCUUUCAAUUUUCGAUCAUCCAAUGAGGUUUCCUCCUUUAUGAUCAACGAAUUCAAGAAAAGAGCCAACCACGCUUAAUCGAAGAUCGAUAAAUUUAACAAUGUGUGAGUAAUAUGUAUUUUAAAAGAGAGAGAAAUUAAACGAGAUGUAAAAAUAUUUGAUAAGCUCGUGUCCUCGAAGCAAUAGUUGACUUUACGAUGAUAAAACGAAAACAAGAUGCGUAAUUUAAGAUUGUUUGCUAGAUAUGCAAUAUCAUGAAAAUAGAACGAAUCAACAUUCAAAUAUUUUAACAACUUCUACAUGUCAUUAUCAUGUUGCAAGAAAAUGCUAAAUCAUGAUUCUAGAAAUUGAUUAUAUUGCAUGAUAUGUUACGUGAGAUAAUUAUUUGAUGAAAAAAUAAAAUUAUCAUAAAUUACAUUCUAAGUUGCUAAAUAAAUACACGUGUAUUUAUGUAUGUAAUGCAACAUGUUUAUUUUCAUGUGUAAUAUUGCAUACAUUGCAAUAUAAACAAUGUAAAUAUUCUUUUGAAUAUUAAUCUAACAUUUAUGAUUAUCAUUACAUCAUUAAAUACUUUGUAUUUACAAAACUUUAUAAUUUUAUAAUUUAUAGUCCUUAAAUAUAAAAUUAAAUUUUGUGCUAUACAAUACUUAAUUAUUGAAUUUAAAUUUAAAAUAAAAAAUUUCUUCUUCAUAAAUUAAUGUUAAUUUUUUUUAUUAUGUCCUCAAAUUAUGCAAAUAUUUUAUUAUUUCACUAUUUUUUUUUCAAGGCAUGUCUUGUUAAUAAAACUUAUCUCAAAUAUUUACCAAUUAAAUUAAUUUCUUACGAUACAAUUUCUUACGUGUUCCCAAUUCUAAAAUCCAAUAGUUAUACCUUUACAACGGAAAAUAACCGUAAAUACGCGACGCGUCUGCCAAAUUUUCACCAACGAAAAUUCACUCACGUCUCUCGUCGCAAUUCCAACCACAUACUCAAAAUUUACAUUUCAAACUUCAAUACCGUAUAACCCAUCCACUGUUGAUAAUAAGAUAAACCAAUCACCUGACUCGCGGCCAUUCACGGCAGACCAUCGAUUUUCGCAGACUUCCCGACAAAAC